rnacentral:misc_RNA from 1 species
GAUGAAGAACGCAGCGAAAUGCGAUAAGUAAUGUGAAUUGCAGAAUUCCGUGAAUCAUCGAAUCUUUGAACGCACAUUGCGCCCCCUGGCAUUCCGGGGGGCAUGCCUGUCCGAGCGUCAUUUCUGCCCUCGAGCACGGCUUGUGUGUUGGGUGUGGUCCCCCCGGGGACCUGCCCGAAAGGCAGCGGCGACGUCCGUCUGGUCCUCGAGCGUAUGGGGCUCUGUCACUCGCUCGGGAAGGACCUGCGGGGGUUGGUCACCACUAUAUUUUACCACGGUUGACCUCGGAUCAGGUAGGAGUUACCCGCUGAACUUAAGCAUAUCAAUAAGCGGAGGA